UACAGAGGGGGCCAGCGUUAUUCGGAAUUAUUGGGCGUAAAGGGCGCGUAGGCGGCCAUGCGUGUCUCCCGUGAAAUCCCUCGGCUCAACCGAGGACGUGCGGAAGAAACUGCAAGGCUCGAGUCCGGAAGAGGGGGGGCGGAAUUCCCAGUGUAGCGGUGAAAUGCGUAGAUAUUGGGAGGAACACCAGUGGCGAAGGCGGUCCC
rnacentral:rRNA from 1 species